GGGUCAGGUCUGUGCUCAGUGUGUUAUGGACGUUGUAGUGUGGGGGGCUGCGGUCAGUCCACACUGUGGUUCGGCAGCCGGGGUCAUAGUGGGGGGCACUGUGCCAAUGGUGGCCUGGAGCCGCUGACUCUCACAGACAGGGUGGUGAGGACAGCACUAGACACCCCCCCCCCCUCACUCCACAACCCCCAGAGAGGGCAAGAGGGCAGUCAGUGACCCCUGAUCCCCCCCAGAGAGGGCAGUCAGUGACCCCUGAUCCCCCCCAGAGAGGGCAGUCCCUCGGCUGUGCCUGUAACACUGGGCCUGUCGUACCAGAGGUGGGUUGGUCUCGCUGAGGCACUUUCACCCCUGGCUGAGGGUUAUUGGGGGG